rnacentral:lncRNA from 1 species
AAAUGAGUAACUUUGCUAUUUAACAAUUAAAACAAAUAAUUAAAACAAAAUAAAAAUAAAAGGAAAAAUACUAUUCAUCUCCUUCUUCACCCCACCCACCCCACCCCAUUGCCCAAAUCAGAGCCACCACCGUCCAAAUCAGAGCCACCCUUUUCUAAUUUGGUCCAGCCGAAUUUCGCACACAAUGUUCAAGUCACGAGGCAAGUCUCCAACGACAGUUUCUACUUCAGCUCUUGUAAGUUCUCCACCGGCAGCUUCCACCCGGGCUCCUAUAAGUUCCCUAGCGACAGCUUCCACCCUGUCUCCAGUCUCCACCAUCUCCAGCUCCCAAGGCGACAGCACCACCAGCCCCGACUUCAGUGCCCCCGAUUGAGACCCCAGCUAAGGCUCUGGCUCACAUCAAGGAAAAAAAGAAGAAGCAAGAAGCACAUUUCACCUUCAUUUGCUCCCGCUUUGGAGCUGAUGAGCCCACCCGCACCUACAACUGAAGCCAUUGGACCAAGCGCCGAUUCCAUCUCCCCAGAUCCUACAUCACUUAACGAUGAUGUAUAUUUCUAAAUUCUAAUUCCUUCCCUAAUUUUAGUUUUAGCUGUGAUUUGGCCUAUGAGGUGGAUGGUGUGGUGUGGUGUGGUGCGAGGAAGAUAACCUUGGGUUUGAAUUUUUGUUUUUAUUUAACCAUUCCUUCCUUAUUAUAAUUAAUUGUAUUUUUAGUGAAAAUUGCAAAGUUACAAUUUUGCCCUUAUUACAUUUGGUCAAAAUUUUACUAUUGUGGUCAACUAACGGUCAAAUGGACGAUUUUCAUCAAUUUGGACCCCGAGUGCUUAUUUUUGAAAGAUUUAGAAC